ensembl:antisense Gm43653 predicted gene 43653
CCAGAUUUUCACCUGUUCUGUCAAGGCCCAAAAGGAAGACCAAACACAGAAACAGAAGCUUUGGCGUUAAGUCAAAGCAGGGUGUGUCCAGGAGGCAGUGCCGGGUGCUUACAGGAGAUCGUACCUCCCGAGCCGACCCGCUUCCCGGCGGAGCAGCCCGAAGCAUUGCGUCCAGCAGCAGUUCCCCAUCGCAUGCCGCCCGGAGCCGCCGCUCCUCCUCCUGCCCCGAGCGCGAGCCCAGGCGGAGCAGCUGCAUCCGCGCCGGCCGGAGCUCGGCAGACGGCGACGCCGGGAACAAAGGCCGCCGCUAGGCCCGCGGGCUCCGGGCUACCGCGGCGCGAGGGACGAGCGCAGGGCCGUGGGGUCCCGGGUCUCCAGCCGUCCGCAUGGCCCGCUCGCCACCCGCCCGGCCGCCCGCGCCCGUCACCGCCCCGGCAGCCGCGGGAGGCCCGCGCCGCCACGCCCCCUGCCGCUCCCGGGCUCCCAUUGGACACGUUUCUGGCGGCUACCGCUUCCGGCGGCUGGCGCGGGCGUCAUUUCCGCUGGAUUCCGGCUUGGCUGGCAGCGCCGGGCAGGAGGCGCUGUUCUCGGUUGUAGGUGCUGUGUGCUGAACCUGAUCCUAGACGUGGAUCUGCUCUCUCUCUCUCUGCGCCACUUCUGGCGCCUUCGUCGCCCGCUGUCAAGCAGUGGGGAUCAUGCAGCGCAUGCUCGAGCGCAAGCUUAGCCUUCGAACUUUGUACCUAGAGCGCACGAGCCUCCCCUUCUGCAGCAGCGGGUCGGAAGUCACCCAACGAGUGCGCUCCAGGAUGGCACCAGAGCUAGAGGCAGAGAGGAGGGACUCACUGCCGUUACUUAGAACACACUAAGAGGCUUUUUGUUUUAUUUUGUUUUGUUUUGUUUUAAUUCUUAAAAUAUUCUCGUUUGCGGAGCAGCUUAUUCUCGUUAUACUGCCAGCGGACUGGAGAGACACUGUGCACUCCUAGGCGGAUUUUCUUUUAUUAAAAACGAAAAGUUCCAGCUUGGGCAUGUAGCUCGGUUGGUAGAAGUGUGGUGGAAAAAUCUGCAGUCAACAGCACUUGAGAGAUGGAAGCAGAGUCAUAAAUUCAAAGUCAACCUCAGAUACACAUUAAGUUGGAGGUCAGUCCGGACUGUGUGAGACCCUGUAUUUUUAUUUUUUAUUUUUUAAAUUAAAAGUAAUUUCAGGUGGAGAAGAGGAGAACCAGAAGAAGUCAGCAAAAGGUCUUGGGUUUUCGGGAGAACAAGCCAUUUCUAAUUCAAAUAUAAUAUUCUAAUUCCAAGUUAAGAAGAGCAAGGCUGGGGUAAAGGUCCAUGUUCUCAAAUGCCACCCUAAAAACCCCCUUUCAGACACCAGGUAGCUUUAAAAGCAGAAGGCAGAAGUAUGCCUGGGAGUUGGAGGCCGGCCUGAUCUACAGAGCCAGAUCCUGGCCAGCCAUGUCUAUGUAAUGAAACCCUGUCUAACCCAACUGGAUCCAAGGCAUAGUUGUUUCACAAAUGCCCAGUUCUGUGGAUAACAUGCUCCACUGAUACCAUAUAUUACAAUUUUAACCCACUUUAGUGUGAGUGAAAUGGUGACAUUG